rnacentral:rRNA from 1 species
CGUCCUUAUGGACAUCGUAAUCAUCGAGCGGCGGACGGGUGAGUAACACGUGGGCAACCUACCCUUAAGACUGGGAUAACCGCGGGAAACCGUGGCUAAUACCGGAUAAUACUUUUAUACAUCAGUAUAGGAGUUGAAAGGUGGAUUUCUAUCACUUAAGGAUGGGCCUGCGGCGCAUUAGCUCGUUGGUAAGGUAACGGCUUACCAAGGCGACGAUGCGUAGCCGACCUGAGAGGGUGAUCGGCCACACUGGAACUGAGACACGGUCCAGACUCCUACGGGAGGCAGCAGUAGGGAAUCUUCCGCAAUGGGCGAAAGCCUGACGGAGCAACGCCGCGUGUGCGAAGAAGGUCUUCGGAUCGUAAAGCACUGUUGUUAAGGAAGAACGACAGUAAGAGUAACUGCUUACUGUGUGACGGUACUUAACCAGAAAGCCACGGCUAACUACGUGCCAGCAGCCGCGGUAAUACGUAGGUGGCAAGCGUUAUCCGGAAUUAUUGGGCGUAAAGCGCGCGUAGGCGGCGAGAUUAGUCUGAUGUGAAAGCCCCCGGCUCAACCGGGGAAGGUCAUUGGAAACUGUUUCGCUUGAGUGCAGAAGAGGAGAGUGGAAUUCCAUGUGUAGCGGUGAAAUGCGCAGAGAUAUGGAGGA